UGGCGGAGGAAAGAGACCAGAGAGCGCAGGAGCUUGAAGGUGGCCGUUGGGCACUGUUUAUAGUAUGCAGCGAUUACUCUUUACGCCCUUGACGGCCUUGCUGGGGAGCCCGUGUCUCCGGCUUCUGGUUCCUAGGGUGGCGCCUGGAACACAGUGUGGUUGCAGUUGUGGGAUCAGGCGCCCCUUGAGGCCAGGGCAAUACAGCACUAUCUCCGAUAUAGCUUUGCAACCUGGAAGGGGUACAGUGUCCCUCCCUUCAAAGGCUGCUGAGCGGGUGGUGGGCCGAUGGCUCCUGGUCUGCAGCGGGACAGUGGCUGGAGCAGUUAUUCUUGGUGGAGUAACGAGGUUGACAGAGUCUGGCCUCUCAAUGGUAGAUUGGCAUUUAAUAAAGGAGAUGAAGCCACCCACAAGCAAAAAGGAAUGGGAAGCAGAAUUCCAAAAAUAUCAGCAAUUUCCAGAAUUUAAAAUCUUGAAUCAUGAUAUGACGCUGGCGGAAUUCAAGUUCAUCUGGUACAUGGAGUACUCACACCGAAUGUGGGGUCGCCUUGUAGGCCUCGCAUACAUCCUGCCUGCUGCCUACUUUUGGAAAAAGGGCUGGCUCACCCGUGGCCUGAAAGGACGUGUUCUUGCCCUCUGUGGUUUAGUUUGCUUCCAGGGCCUGUUGGGAUGGUAUAUGGUAAAAAGUGGAUUAGAAGAAAAGCCAGAUUCCCAUGACAUCCCUCGAGUCAGUCAGUACCGCCUUGCUGCCCAUCUGGGGUCAGCCCUUGUGCUCUACUGUGCCAGCUUAUGGACCUCGCUCUCCUUGCUGCUUCCUCAGCACAAGUUGCCUGAAACGCGUCAACUCCUGCGGUUGAGACGAUUUGCUCAUGGAACUGCAGGCCUGGUGUUCCUUACGGCUCUCUCAGGGGCUUUUGUGGCAGGGCUGGAUGCUGGACUUGUUUACAACUCCUUCCCCAAGAUGGGAGAAUCUUGGAUCCCAGAGGAUCUCUUUACCUUCUCCCCUCUCCCGAGGAAUGUUUUCGAGAAUCCCACCAUGGUGCAGUUUGAUCACCGGGUUCUGGGCAUCACUUCAGUUACUGCCAUUACGGUACUCUACUUCCUCUCCCGAAGAAUUCCCCUUCCUCGAAGGACCAAGAUAGCAGCCACCACUCUGCUAGCUUUGGCGUAUACACAGGUGGGCUUGGGCAUUAGUACUCUGCUGAUGUAUGUCCCAACUCCUUUGGCUGCCACUCACCAGUCGGGCUCCCUGGCUCUGCUCAGCGUUGCCCUUUGGCUCAUGAAUGAACUCCGAAGAGUCCCAAAAUAAUUCUCAGAAGAUCAGCUUCCUAGGACUGAAACUGUGCUUUUGAGAGAUCAUCAGAAAGCACAAGAAUUUGAGCUUUUCUGAGAGGAGGACCUUGGCAUACCAGGGCUCUGUCUUAUUCAACAUUUUAAAAUCAGCAAUUUGGAUGAAGGCAUCACAAAGACCAUAUUUGAGGAUGGAGCAACCCAACAUUGCUGACAGAAUAGAUGACGAUCACAAAACAGUUCCAGAGUGACAUCAUCAAGAUGAAAUUAAACCAGUCAUAAAUGUAACAGCUUCAUUUAAAUAGGUUAUGUAAGUUUGGGAUAGAGAAAACUAGCUUAUCAUCUUCAUAUAAAAAAAGACUUAGGGACUUCAGUUGGACACAGGCUCAGUAUGAACCAACCAUGUGAUGACAAUGGUAAAAACUAGUGGUGGUUAAGAUUCUACGAAUAGAAGUGUCACAGCCAUAGUCAGAACACCACACUGCAAGUGCUGCAUUUUAUUCUGGGUACUGCAUGUUUUAAGGAGGAUACUCAACGGCACGUAUGUAUCAAGAGGCAGGAACCGGGACAGCAAGGAGUCCAGAACCUGUUUCACACCGGAAAUACUUGGAAGAACUAGGAGUAUUCAGCUGGAGAACAUUUAGAGACAGCAAGAAUCCUGCCCUUGACAAGUUGAAGCCCCUUCUUGCAGAAGGAAGAGCUGGGAGCAGUGGGUAAAAGUUGUAGAAAGUUAGUUUUUAGUUUUGUAGAAGGUAGGAGCCACCUGGACCAAAUCAGAUGCCUGCUAGGGCAGACUGGUGCAAACAGGUGAACCCAGAGAGCAGGUGCCCAUCAAGGGGCUAAACCUCUGCUGAGUGCUAACCUGUUGCUGCUCUGCAGGUCCAGUUGUGAGAUCCAACUUUUCAGACAAACCAAACAUCCAGAUUUUUAUGUGAAUGGUCUCAAGUUUUUUAGAACAUUAUUCAGGCUAAACAGAUCUGGAAGCCAUAAAUGACGUUAAGGUGUGCCCCCGUACAGCUGCUGGACUAAUGAUCACAGUUCCCUUUCAACUCCAGUAUCCUCUGGGUUUCAGUGUGACCAACAGUGUAUCAUCCUCAAAUGGUUCUUAGCAAAAUAGAAGUAGCAGUUUGUCUUUGAUUUUUUUGUUAAUAAAAAUCCUGGCCAGGAAACAGCUUUUGCUGUUGCCAGCAGUGGUUCCCAGCUUCUCUCACAUUAUAAUCUUUCAGAAUCCUGACCCCAGCAUUAGCAGUGAUCAGUUAAAUCAUAAUCUCUGAAAGCCAUAAUUAGCAAAUUCCUUGGGUGAUUCUGAUGUGCUGACAAGUUUGGGAACCACUAGUAGCCCUAGUAGCUUACUUACCUUAGAAAGUUCUGACCAGCUUAUUCCCAUUCCUUCCAAAUUUCCUCUCACCCUAUCUCAUUUAAUCCACUGUGUUGAUACUGGUUAGUGUGCCAGCAGGGUAUCACCUCUUCCAGAUAGAAUUCUCUAAAGAAUGAGAGCGGCAGUCACUGGGCAGGUUCCCAAACUAUCAUCUCCUGAUCCCCAAAUUAAGGUUGUUCUUAGUUAAUAAUUGAGUCUGGAGAGGGCAGUCUGAUCCAACUCAAAGAACCAUAUGCUAAUGCUGCUACUG